rnacentral:rRNA from 1 species
AACGAACGCUGGCGGCAUGCCUAACACAUGCAAGUCGAACGAGACCUUCGGGUCUAGUGGCGCACGGGUGCGUAACGCGUGGGAACCUGCCCUUAGGUUCGGAAUAACUCCCCGAAAGGGGUGCUAAUACCGGAUAAUGUCUUCGGACCAAAGAUUUAUCGCCUUUGGAUGGGCCCGCGUUGGGUUAGCUAGUUGGUAGGGUAAAAGCCUACCAAGGCGACGAUCCAUAGCUGGUCUGAGAGGAUGAUCAGCCACACUGGGACUGAGACACGGCCCAGACUCCUACGGGAGGCAGCAGUGGGGAAUAUUGGACAAUGGGCGAAAGCCUGAUCCAGCAAUGCCGCGUGAGUGAUGAAGGCCUUAGGGUUGUAAAGCUCUUUUACCCGGGAUGAUAAUGACAGUACCGGGAGAAUAAGCUCCGGCUAUCUCCGUG